UCAGAGGUGAAAGCCCAGAGCUCAACUGGGGAACUGCCAUUGAUACUGAUAAGCUUGAGUACGAUAGAGGUAGGUGGAAUUCGUCAUGUAGCGGUGAAAUGCUUAGAUAUGACCAAGAACACCAAUGGCGAAGGCAGCUUACUGACUCGUCACUGACGCUCAGGGACGAAAGCGUGGGGAGCAAACAGGAUUAGAUACCCUGGUAGUCCAGGCCGUAAACGAUGAGCGCUAGAUGUUGGAGGAAUACUUUCCUUGGGUGUCCCAACCAAACUAUCAACUGUCCCCCCUAGGAAGUACGCCCAGAAGAAUAAAACUAAAAGUAAUUGACGG
rnacentral:rRNA from 1 species